rnacentral:lncRNA from 1 species
AAUUAUCUACUCAGCUACUAACUCUCUAAGUCGACGAGUCCAUUUUUGAUUUCAUUAUUUCAGAUCAGAUCCCAUCCUCUCCUCGUGGAACUUUGACCGUCGACUGUCGAUUAACUCUCUACUCGUCGAUCGAAGAUCUCACAUCCUCUCCACUUCUUCAGCCUCCGCUUCUCUCCGGCCUCCGUGGCGAAUGCGCCUCGGCCGAUGCACGAUCUCGGUUCCCAGUCUCCCAGUCUCGAUCUCGGCCCUCUCCGACUCCCCCCCUUCGACUCUCUUACAUCUGAUUUUUUUAAGUAAGUUACAUUUGAUUUUGAUUUGAACCCUUUUACGGGUUAUUUGAUCUGAUUUUGUUAGUUAGGGUUAUGAUUUCUAAGGUGGGUACUGGGUAAUCUUUUGAUUCAUUCAUAAAUUUGGAAUCUGAGCUUUCUGUGGAGUACUGGAGUCUUGGAUUUCUUGUUAAUUUUUUUUUGGGAUCUUUAUUAUAUAAUUUCAUGAAUUGGGAUAAUGUGAUAUUAUAAUUUGUUGGCUUUGUUAACUUGGACCUUAAUUUUAAUUGAUAGUUACUAUGCAAUGACAGCUACAAUUUUGAUUAUAAUGAUUAAUGGUUCUGAAAAUUGAUGGUGUCAUGGUGUAUUGGUGUUAUGCUAUGAGUAUGAACUAUGAAGCACAAUUUAUUGCAGAAAGCACAAUUUGUUGGUCUAUUUUACUUUCACUAGGUUAGUUUCAAAAUUUGAUAUCAUGAACUGCUGAAGGUUAAUUAAGUAUUUGAUAUCUCAAGUUACAGCCAUGUAUUUCCUUGAACUGGUUUGUCCAUUUAAGUUAUUAAGCUUGUUUUCACUAUAUAUUUUUUACUCUGUGACAAAACUAGAUUACCAUAUAUUUGUCUUUCUCUUGAUUCCUUAGUUCUUUGGACAAAUAAUACCAUAUAUUUGUUAUUAAAGGAUAUAUCUAUUUCCUGAGCUCAUUAUAUAUGGAUGGUGCUAGAUUUUGUCUUGUGUAUUUUCUUGAGGUUGUUUUGGUAACCAUUAUCUGAAGCUUACUAAAUGCUAAAAUUUGUUAAAUUCAUAAAAUCUAAUAUACGAAACUGCUCUCAUAUUUGAUUGUCAUCUAAUCAUGGUUUACACAUACGCGCAACAAUGCCCAUAGGCCAUAACAGCUCCAUGUCUACUUUUUAGAGUAUAGUGUUGAUCGAAUUUGUGUUGCAUGUUCAUGUUGCUGUACAGGAUUUGUGAUGUUCAUGGUUAUGUGAUGUAUAAAAUUUGUGUUGUUGUACCUGUUGCUGUUGUAUGUUGCUGUUCGCUGUAGUUUGUUGGCUGUUGCACAAGCCCAACUACUGGUUUGCUGCUAGCUGCUGCCGCUUGCCUGCUACUCUGUCUCUGCUAGAUUAAUUUCAUGUUGGCUUGUUGGGCGCUGUUGCCUGUUGCUGGCUUGUUGCUUUGUUUAGUCAUAAAUUUGUUAAAGUCUUAAGGACUGGACAGUUAAUUUUUUUGACUUGUUGUUGCUGACUAACUGUAUUUUGGACAGUUAAUUUUGCUAGAUUAAUUUUUGUUGCUGCUUUGUUAAGUCAUAAAUUUGUUAAGGUCUUAACUCUUAAGGACUGAACAGUUAAUUUUGUUGGCUUAUUGUUGCUGACUUGCUGUAUUUUGGAUAGUUAAUUUGGCUUGCUUUAUUAAGUCAUAAAUUUCAUGUUGGCUUGUUGUUGUUGCUGGACAAUUAAGGUAACAGUUGCUGGACAGUUAAUUUGUUAAACAGGUAACAUGAAAUUUAUGUUGGAUGAUAUUUCGGUUAUUACCCGAAUACCAGAAAUUACAAUUCAGUAAUUCGGUAUUCGGUAGUUCGGUUAUUUUCAAAUUUCGGUUAGUAGUUCAGAUAGUGAAAUUAUCAAUAAUUCAGUUUUCGGUUAUAACCGAAUAGCUUAUUCGGUUCGGUUAUAACCGAAUGAUCACUCCUACUCCUCCCCACAUACACAUACACAUACACAUACAUAAGACCUUAAAAUAAACAAACAGUUUAGAUUUAAUUUAUACUCGUUCAAUUAAAAAAUUAAUUUAAAUUCGACUCGAAAUAUAAAUAAUUUAAAUAUGAACAAACUUUAAAGUUCGAUAAAUUACUCGAACCUUCUUAAAUUAUAAUUUUAUGUUGAUAUUCGAAUCAUAUUCGUUCGAAAAGUUCAAAUUGUUCGAGCUCGAUUCGAGAUCUUGUCCGACUCGAUAACUAAACGAGCCUCAAUCAAAUUUUAUUUUAUACUCGAUAAAUUUUAUGAACCAAAUCUGAACAACUCAAUACUCGACUCGACUCAUUUACAACCUUACAUACAACCUCCUCCUUCCCGUGCUAGAAUUUUGCCCCAUCUUAUUAUUACUAUUUUACUAAAAGAAAAAGUUAAAAUUAUUUUUUUGUACCCCUUUUCUUUCUUAAUACUACUGUCAUGGAUUUGUUAUUAGAAAUUGAUAAAUUUACAAUA